AAGGUUACGAGUCGACUCCAAGUGUUUCAGAAGUUCUGGCACAUGCUCGAGUCGACUCCGGUACACUACGAGUCGACUCCGACUGAGAACUGACAAAAAGACAGAAAGUUGAUUUUCAGACCCUGUCAGCGAGUCGACUCCAGAAGGGUUCGAGUCGGCUCCGAUGGUUGCCGAGUCGACUCCCGACGUUUCCGAGUCGACUCCAAAGGGUAACAGAAGAAAGACAGAACAAUGUAUUUCAGACCCUGCAGCCGAGUCGACUCCAGAAGGUUACGAGUCGACUCCGAAGUUUGGCGAGUCGACUCCUAGUUAAGUACGAGUCGACUCUCAGAGGAAAGCAAGACUAGAAGGCAGUUCAAGCCAAAACACAGAGGAUCAGUUUUCGGAUUCUGAGAGCUGAGUCG
rnacentral:lncRNA from 1 species